rnacentral:rRNA from 1 species
AACGGCCAUACCAUGCUGAAUAUACCGGUUCUCGUUAGAUCACCGAAGUCAAGCAUCAUUGGGCGCGGUCAGUACUUGGGUGGGUGACCACCUGGGAACACUGGG